rnacentral:sRNA from 1 species
UUCCCCGUCUGAUGUUCAGUUAUAGAUUUUGUGUUAGGUACGGUUCGCCAAAACCGUCCAAUUGCUUAGUACCCAAUUAAUCUAACACAGAAUUUUUAAACCGAUCUGAUGACGGGUUUUUUG